rnacentral:piRNA from 1 species
UGAGUUCAGGAGAGUGACCACCUUU